rnacentral:rRNA from 1 species
GAUGAGCGCUGGCGGCGUGCCUAAUACAUGCAAGUCGAGCGAACAGACGAGGAGCUUGCUCCUCUGACGUUAGCGGCGGACGGGUGAGUAACACGUGGAUAACCUACCUAUAAGACUGGGAUAACUUCGGGAAACCGGAGCUAAUACCGGAUAAUAUAUUGAACCGCAUGGUUCAAUAGUGAAAGACGGUUUUGCUGUCACUUAUAGAUGGAUCCGCGCCGCAUUAGCUAGUUGGUAAGGUAACGGCUUACCAAGGCAAUGAUGCGUAGCCGACCUGAGAGGGUGAUCGGCCACACUGGAACUGAGACACGGUCCAGACUCCUACGGGAGGCAGCAGUAGGGAAUCUUCCGCAAUGGGCGAAAGCCUGACGGAGCAACGCCGCGUGAGUGAUGAAGGUCUUCGGAUCGUAAAACUCUGUUAUUAGGGAAGAACAAAUGUGUAAGUAACUAUGCACGUCUUGACGGUACCUAAUCAGAAAGCCACGGCUAACUACGUG